GGUCAUGUGGCCUAGUGGUCAUGGCAUCUGCCCGGUAAGCGGAAGGUCGUGGGUUCGUUUUGACACUUUUUUUA